GGAGCAGUAGCUCAGCUGGUUAGAGUAUCGGCUUGUCACGCCGGAGGUCGCGGGUUCGACUCCCGUCUGCUCCGCCA
rnacentral:tRNA from 1 species